CGCAGCCCAGACCGCUUCCCGAAAGCAGAAGGGAAGAGCCGCAGCGCCUGCCCGCCCGCGCCUCCCAUCCGGCGCUCUGCCAGCAACAAACACAAACUUUCCCAAGCCCCUCCCCGCGCCAGGACUCCUCUGGAAGCCCGGUCGCUGAGCUCCCUUCGCCGGCUCCCCGCGUCCUGCCGCUCCGGACGCACCCACGCGUGUCUGCUGUCCCUUCUGCUGCCUCCCCGCCGCUCGCCCACUCGUCUCCAGCUCAGCACCCUACCAACACGCCGUGGGGCUCCUGCUAAAAAUUGUCCAGACUCUGAUUUCCCUGACCCGCCCGUCCCUAGACCCUAAGGCCACGAAUGCUGUGCUCCUGUGUCGGAUGAGAGCCUCACUCUUCCAGGUGUAGUCUGCAGACCUGGCUCACCAGCACCCCUUGGGAGCUCAUUAACAAUGCGGACUUUCAGACCCCAUUCCAGACCGAUUAAACCAGAAACCGCCUUCUAGAGGCUCCGCAGGUGAUCUGUGUGCACAUUCCAGUUUGAGAAGCCAUGGGUUAGAGGCUGGUGGAGGUGAAUGGGGAAUGUGUGCUUGAGUUGUUGAAAUCACAUGCACUUCUUAUGGGGGGAAUCUGACCACCCCCAAAAGAGGCCCUCAUUGGUAGCAUCUAGAGGCACCCCCUCUGAUCACUCAAGCCGGCUCUGGUCUUGCCCACCACGUUCCUUACAUUAUAUCGU